rnacentral:rRNA from 1 species
GACGAACGCUGGCGGCGUGCUUAACACAUGCAAGUCGAAUGGUAAGGCCCUUCGGGGUACACGAGUGGCGAACGGGUGAGUAACACGUGGGUGAUCUGCCCUGCACUUCGGGAUAAGCCUGGGAAACUGGGUCUAAUACCGGAUAGGACCACUGCCUGCAUGGGUGGAGGUGGAAAGCUUUUGCGGUGUGGGAUGGGCCCGCGGCCUAUCAGCUUGUUGGGGGGGUGAAGGCCUACCAAGGCGACGACGGGUAGCCGGCCUGAGAGGGUGACCGGCCACACUGGGACUGAGAUACGGCCCAGACUCCUACGGGAGGCAGCAGUGGGGAAUAUGGCACAAUGGGCGCAAGCCUGAUGCAGCGACGCCGCGUGAGGGAUGACGGCCUUCGGGUUGUAAACCUCUUUCAGUAGGGACGAAGCGCAAGUGACGGUACCUACAGAAGAAGGACCGGCCAACUACGUGCCAGCCGCCGCCGUAA